rnacentral:rRNA from 1 species
GUGGGGAAUAUUGCGCAAUGGGGGAAACCCUGACGCAGCGACGCCGCGUGAGUGAUGAAGGCCUUCGGGUCGUAAAGCUCUGUUGCAGGGGAAUAAAAAAAUGAAGGUACCCUGUGAGGAAGGAUCGGCUAACUUCGUGCCAGCAGCCGCGGUAAGACGAGGGAUCCUAGCGUUGUUCGGAAUCAUUGGGCGUAAAGCGGAUGUAGGUGGCUAUGUAAGUCAGAUGUGAAAGCCUGGGGCUCAACCCCAGAAGUGCAUUUGAUACUGCGUAGCUUGAGUGUCGAAGAGGUUACUAGAAUUGUUGGUGUAGUGGUGAAAUACGUAGAUAUCAACAGGAAUACCGGAGGCGAAGGCGGGUAACUGGCCGAACACUGACACUGAGAUCCGAAAGCGUGGGGAUCAAACAGGAUUAGAAACCCGAGUAGUCC